rnacentral:rRNA from 1 species
GAUUAACGCUGGCGGCGUGCCUAAUACAUGCAAGUCGAACGACCGGAGCAAUCCGGGAGUGGCGAACGGGUGAGUAACACGUGGGAACCUGCCCAGCGGUGGGGAACAACCGAGGGAAACUUCGGCUAAUACCGCAUACGCCCUUACGGGGAAAGAUUUAUCGCCGUUGGAGGGGCCCGCGUCCGAUUAGCUAGUUGGUGAGGUAACGGCUCACCAAGGCGACAAUCGGUAACUGGUCUGAGAGGACGACCAGUCACACUGGGACUGAGACACGGCCCAGACUCCUACGGGAGGCAGCAGUAGGGAAUAUUGGACAAUGGGGGAAACCCUGAUCCAGCAAUGCUGCGUGAGUGAUGAAGGCCUUAGGGUUGUAAAGCUCUUUCGCCCACGACGAUGAUGACGGUAGUGGGAGAAGAAGCCCCGGCUAACUUCGUGCCAGCCGCCGCGGUAA